rnacentral:piRNA from 1 species
AGAAGCUGUAGAGAGAAGGUGCUA